rnacentral:rRNA from 1 species
UACGGAGGGGGCUAGCGUUAUUCGGAAUUAUUGGGCGUAAAGGGCGCGUAGGCGGCCCGGUAAGUCAAAGGUGAAAUCCCUCGGCUCAACUGAGGAACUGCCUUUGAAACUGUCGGGCUCGAGGCCGGGAGGGGGUAGCGGAAUUCCCAGUGUAGCGGUGAAAUGCGUAGAUAUUGGGAGGAACACCGGUGGCGAAGGCGGCUACCUGGACCGGUUCUGACGCUGAUGCGCGAAAGCGUGGGUAGCAAACAGG